AGUGAACGCUGGCGGUAGGCCUAACACAUGCAAGUCGAACGGCAGCACAGUAAGAUCUUGCUCUUACGGGUGGCGAGUGGCGGACGGGUGAGGAAUACAUCGGAAUCUACUUUUUCGUGGGGGAUAACGUAGGGAAACUUACGCUAAUACCGCAUACGACCUACGGGUGAAAGCAGGGGAUCUUCGGACCUUGCGCGAUUGAAUGAGCCGAUGUCGGAUUAGCUAGUUGGCGGGGUAAAGGCCCACCAAGGCGACGAUCCGUAGCUGGUCUGAGAGGAUGAUCAGCCACACUGGAACUGAGACACGGUCCAGACUCCUACGGGAGGCAGCAGUGGGGAAUAUUGGACAAUGGGCGAAAGCCUGACCCAGCAAUACCGCGUGGGUGAAGAAGGCCUUCGGGUUGUAAAGCCCUUUUGUUGGGAAAGAAAAGCAGCAGAUUAAUACCCCGCUGUUCUGACGGUACCUAAAGAAUAAGCACCGGCUAACUUCGUG
rnacentral:rRNA from 1 species